GUUAUUGCGUCGAUCAAUGCAUUGAAAGUGACUACAUCGGGGCUUAUAUAUUUUGUUCAAAUCGUAUGCAAUGAAAAUUUGUAAUUCAGCUCCGGUGUAAUCACUUUCACUGCGUUAAUCAAUGCAUU
rfam:Arabis alpina cultivar Pajares chromosome 4, whole genome shotgun sequence.